rnacentral:tRNA from 1 species
CGCAGCGUAGCUUAACUAGCAAAGCCCCAAGCUCAUAACUUGGUUGAUACGGGUGCAAAUCCCGUCGCUGCCACCA